rnacentral:rRNA from 1 species
AAUCAACGCUGGCGGCGUGCCUCAGACAUGCAAGUCGAACGCUGCUGUUCGCCUUCGGGUGGACAGCGGAGUGGCGCACGGGUGAGUAACACGUAGGUAAUCUACCUUUGGGUGGGGAAUAACAGCCGGAAACGGCUGCUAAUACCGCAUAAUGCAGCGGCAUCACAUGAUGACAGUUGUUAAAGCGAGGGAUCGUAAGACCUCGCGCCUGAAGAGGAGCCUGCGGCAGAUUAGGUAGUUGGUGAGGUAAUGGCUCACCAAGCCUGCGAUCUGUAACCGGCCUGAGAGGGCGGUCGGUCACACUGACACUGACAUACGGGUCAGACUCCUACGGGAGGCAGCAGUCGGGAAUUUUGGGCAA